GGGGGCGUAGCUCAGUUUUGGUUAGAGCGCCGGCCUGUCACGCCGGAGGUCGCGAGUUCGAGUCUCGUCGUCCCCGCCA
rnacentral:tRNA from 1 species